UACGUAGGGCGCAAGCGUUAUCCGGAAUUAUUGGGCGUAAAGAGCUCGUAGGCGGUUUGUCGCGUCUGCCGUGAAAGUCCGGGGCUCAACUCCGGAUCUGCGGUGGGUACGGGCAGACUAGAGUGAUGUAGGGGAGACUGGAAUUCCUGGUGUAGCGGUGAAAUGCUUAGAUAUCUGGAGGAACACCUAUGGCGAAGGCAGCUUACUGGACGAUAACUGACGCUGAGGCACGAAAGCGUGGGGAGCAAAAAGG
rnacentral:rRNA from 1 species